GAUGAACGCUGGCGGCGUGCUUAACACAUGCAAGUCGAACGGGAUCCAUCAGGCUUUGCUUGGUGGUGAGAGUGGCGAACGGGUGAGUAAUGCGUGACCGACCUGCCCCAUACACCGGAAUAGCUCCUGGAAACGGGUGGUAAUGCCGGAUGCUCCGACUCCUCGCAUGGGGUGUCGGGAAAGAUUUCAUCGGUAUGGGAUGGGGUCGCGUCCUAUCAGGUAGUCGGCGGGGUAACGGCCCACCGAGCCUACGACGGGUAGCCGGCCUGAGAGGGCGACCGGCCACAUUGGGACUGAGAUACGGCCCAGACUCCUACGGGAGGCAGCAGUGGGGAAUAUUGCACAAUGGGCGCAAGCCUGAUGCAGCGACGCCGCGUGCGGGAUGACGGCCUUCGGGUUGUAAACCGCUUUUGAUCGGGAGCAAGCCUUCGGGUGAGUGUACCUUUCGAAUAAGCACCGGCUAACUACGUGCCAGCAGCCGCGGUAAUACGUAGGGUGCAAGCGUUAUCCGGAAUUAUUGGGCGUAAAGGGCUCGUAGGCGGUUCGUCGCGUCCGGUGUGAAAGUCCAUCGCUUAACGGUGGAUCUGCGCCGGGUACGGGCGGGCUGGAGUGCGGUAGGGGAGACUGGAAUUCCCGGUGUAACGGUGGAAUGUGUAGAUAUCGGGAAGAACACCAAUGGCGAAGGCAGGUCUCUGGGCCGUUACUGACGCUGAGGAGCGAAAGCGUGGGGAGCGAACAGGAUUAGAUACCCUGGUAGUCCACGCCGUAAACGGUGGAUGCUGGAUGUGGGGCCCGUUCCACGGGUUCCGUGUCGGAGCUAACGCGUUAAGCAUCCCGCCUGGGGAGUACGGCCGCAAGGCUAAAACUCAAAGAAAUUGACGGGGGCCCGCACAAGCGGCGGAGCAUGCGGAUUAAUUCGAUGCAACGCGAAGAACCUUACCUGGGCUUGACAUGUUCCCGACAGCCGUAGAGAUAUGGCCUCCCUUCGGGGCGGGUUCACAGGUGGUGCAUGGUCGUCGUCAGCUCGUGUCGUGAGAUGUUGGGUUAAGUCCCGCAACGAGCGCAACCCUCGCCCUGUGUUGCCAGCACGUCAUGGUGGGAACUCACGGGGGACCGCCGGGGUCAACUCGGAGGAAGGUGGGGAUGACGUCAGAUCAUCAUGCCCCUUACGUCCAGGGCUUCACGCAUGCUACAAUGGCCGGUACAACGGGAUGCGACACGGCGACGUGGAGCGGAUCCCUGAAAACCGGUCUCAGUUCGGAUUGGAGUCUGCAACCCGACUCCAUGAAGGCGGAGUCGCUAGUAAUCGCGGAUCAGCAACGCCGCGGUGAAUGCGUUCCCGGGCC
rnacentral:rRNA from 1 species